ensembl:lncRNA
GGGUACAGCAUUACCCUUUGAAACUAAUUUCUUGACAGCAUUGUGCAAUUGGUGCCUUGGAGAUCUGCUUUUAGCUGUACCUGCAUGCCCAAAUCUAUUUAUAUAUAUAUAUAUAUAUAUAUAUACUCACACAGUAGGCAUCAACAUAGGUUUAUAUUUUCUAGAGGGAGGGAAAAAAAUCUGGGUUUGAAUGAACGCUUCAGUUUAUAAUAAUGGUUCUCCUCUUUUGGUCCAGAGAGCGCUUCUUUGCUACACUGAUAUAGUGCAGCUCAACAGAAGGCAAUGCCAUUGUAGCGGUCUGUGAGCUCGUUGGUCCGUUGGUAAACCAUUUCAACAACUGUUGGUGGUUUACUGUUAGAAUGUGUACAGAGGCUCAUUGUUUCCUGAUACUGUAUCACAGUUAUUUCAAUCACAAACGUAUUUUUCUCUCCGGUUCACUAUAAGGCUGACAUUUGGUUGGAUGGAUAGCCAUGUAUAUUAAUGUUCCUCUCAGGAUGAUUUGUAAGAACUUUGCUGACCCUUAAAUUUCCACGCUGCAUCAUCUUAAAGUCAAAGUCAUAGACUGUAUAAAAGAUGGACCUAGCCACCAGAGCAUCAUCCAUUGGCCUGUUAAGUGCUUCAGUGGAUGAGUGUUUUCCCCAGCUGGUUUCAAACAUCACAGCUGGUUUCAAACACUGUGAUGUUUGAAACCAGCUAUGAUGUGUAAGGUGUGGAUUUGACUGAGAAACUGCUUGCUCAGUAUUAAGAUUUUUAAAACGAGGUUGGAACGACUAUGUUCUGAAACUGGCAACUUUGUCUGUAACUUGUCAACUAGGAACUGUGGGCGGUUUUCUGUAAAGGUUUAUAUGACCCAAAGUCUUUUUGCAGUCAGAGGACUCGCCCCCUGCUGGAUAUCAGAAUGCACCUUUAAGGCGCUCCUGCAUUAGCUUGACUUUGUCCAUCCUUUAAACAGUCCAUGGUCAAAUUUUCAACGGUUCAGUUCCUGCAAGACUAAUAAUAAUGUCUGUUGUACUUUGUGUCUAACCAGCAAAUAUGAGAAAUAUUAGCUGAAAUAAGAUGACUAAGGCCUCAUUUACACAAGACGUAGAGAGCUGAUGGCGACUGCCUGGCACUGGAAGGCUGCUAGGAAAAAAAAAAUUCUCCAACCAAAAGAAAACUACAUUAAGCUCUCCCAUUAUUCACUAAGGGUUUCCACAGUGGGCAGUGCUGCACAUUUGAUUGGGCAGGAUACUCAUCCUGAUGCAACCCACAAGGUAUUUCCUCCUGGUCUUGAACUGGGGGAUCUUUUGCUUGUUGUGGGCAGUCGCUGUGGAAUCCAUUGCUAAGACCAGUGACCCCCUUGUAACUGCCGUUCACUAUGGAAAAAUGUGUUUUCCCAGAUUAGCAAAAGGUUGUUGGAGGUUACUGUUGCUAGGUGAAGCUGGCUGUAACAAAAUAGAGGGCCGAUUUGGCACAGAGUUUGCACGGAAGUCUCCACCUGGUUUGCAAACACUUCAUGUCUUGUCAACUACUCACGAAGCGAUAGUAAAACUGUGAAGAAUAGAGCACAGACUGCCUUUACAGUAAAAGUGUUGCCUUUUGAAAUAUGUUGGUUCAGCAGCUUUUACUUUGAACGCAAAUGUUCUAGGUGGUGCUACACUUGUUCAUGUUUCAUUACCACUCAUUGGUUGACUGGUGAGUGUUUGCAGACAAAUUCCAUGCAAACUGUGGACGACCGCAGUAAUCUGCUAGCGACCAAAGCAAUUGCAACAAGGUUUUUGAGGCAGUACCCUGUUUUGCAAACUAUUUUACACAACGACAGCCAGCAACCACUCACCAACCAGUCAGGGAAUACACAUUUUAUAAGGGGCGUGCUGACUGGUCUGCGGCCCUACAAGGCAUAUACAUAUACUCGCUUAGCAUGUUAAGCUUAACUAUUGUGACCAUAUUAGCAUGCUAGCAUUGAGCUCAGAGGACAACUGGUAGCAUAAAUCUGAGUACUUACGCUCUUAAUAUUUAUACAAAGAAGUAUUUUAGUGAAAUAUUGAACAAAAAGGCCAACCAUACUCUUUCAUGCCUUUCCUACCUGGCAGGACAAGGCAGGUUUAUCCAUGUUUCCAAGAAAUCUUCAGUGGGUAAAUAUGGGUACCCACUGAAGGUCGGGUAAAAACCCACUAAAAGUGGGUAAAAAUAUCCACAAUAAAACAUUUAAAACUGUUGAACCAUGAUACAGUGUGAAAAACAAUGGUUCAAAUAGCAAUAUUUUCAAGUAAAUUCACUUUUUAAAGAGAACAGUGCAGCAAAGCUUUUACCAUAAUUAGUCUUCCAUCAUUUUACGACUCUUUGGAUUUCAUUCUGUACAUUCACGUGUGCUCUUUUGUAUGUAUAUAGUAAAGAUUUUAUGUACGAUGUGACAGUGAUUUAAAUCAUUUGUGCUGUUUUUUUCUACCAUCCAGAAGUGGAGAUAUGCACCGAUUGAAUGAAACAGAUUUUGAGUGUUUUCCCCCCACAGGAUUGUACAAAAAGCCUGAGCUUUGUAAUUUUAAAUGUAGCAACAAACUGAGCACUUGAUCAUUCAGUACGCUUACAGCUGAAAAUAUUUUUCUCCUGCUUGUCAUCAGCUUUAAAAAACACGGUACACCCCAGCCUCAGCGGCCACUCCAGGAGUCGUAUGUCAACACGUUGUGCUGGUACUUCUUGACAAGCGCAACAACUCCAAUCACUGCCACUUCCUGUUUUUGAACGUGAUUUGUAUUGAUUUCCAUGUAUAGUGUUCCCCUUGUGUAUCUCACUAUCGAAUCGUUUGAUUCUUCCCCAAUGGACACCUCUUGUGUUUUUACCUCUGUAAUGAUGGUAGUGCUGUUAGUCUUGCCUUUUUUGUGCACCAAAUUAAUAAACUUAGUUGAUACCAGUGAGAAUUUAUGGCUUUUUAAUUAAUGCUGUGUUGUAAAAUACAGAAAAAAUACAACUUUGCAAGCAAAAAUAAAUCUCAUACUUGCAGAUUCA